GCCCGGGUGGUGAAAUUGGUAGACACGCAGGUCUCAGAAGCCUGUGGGGUAAAACCUGUAGGAGUUCGAGUCUCCUCUCGGGCAC
rnacentral:tRNA from 2 species